GUCGAACGAUGAAAUUCUCUGCUUGCAGAGAAUGGAUUAGUGGCGAACGGGUGAGUAACACGUGGGUAACCUGCCCAUAAGAGGGGGAUAACAUUCGGAAACGGAUGCUAAUACCGCAUAUGUCUUUGAGACGCCUGUCUCUUAGAUGAAAGGUGGCUUCGGCUGCCGCUUAUGGAUGGACCCGCGGCGUAUUAGCUAGUUGGUAAGGUAAUGGCUUACCAAGGCUUUGAUACGUAGCCGACCUGAGAGGGUGAUCGGCCACACUGGGACUGAGACACGGCCCAGACUCCUACGGGAGGCAGCAGUAGGGAAUCUUCCACAAUGGGUGAAAACCUGAUGGAGCAAUACCGCGUGAGUGAAGAAGGUCUUCGGAUCGUAAAGCUCUGUUGUUAGAGAAGAAUAAGUCGGGUAGUAACUGCCCCGACCUUGACGGUAUCUAACCAGAAAGUCACGGCUAACUACGUGCCAGCAGCCGCGGUAAUACGUAGGUGACAAGCGUUGUCCGGAUUUAUUGGGCGUAAAGCGAGCGCAGGCGGUCUUUUAAGUCUGAUGUGAAAGCCCACGCCUCAACCGUGGAAGGUCAUUG
rnacentral:rRNA from 2 species